ACAUUAUUCCUCGAUCCUUCUGCAUAGUAUUCAAUAAAUAUUCAGACAUUUCCAUGAAUAAAUAAAACAAAUCUUCUACACAAUAUUAUCCAUUAUAUUAGAUAAAUUCCUGUAUUAAUGUAUUUUAUUAUUAGUUCUAUACACAUAUUAAAACAAGCAUCACUCACUUUAUACUGAAGCUAGAUUUCAUUAUUACCCUUUUUAUUCCCAUUGAUUGGUUAAUUGAUUCAUAUGGGCUGUCUGCUUCUAACAGCAGGUGUCUUAAUUGGCGUUUCUGAAAGAAUGAUCCAAAGUUAUCAACUUAAACUUAAACUUUUAAGAGGCACAACCGGCGUCGGUUUAAUUUUAACUAGCUAGCUUUGCUAGCUUAACGUUAGCUAAGUUAGCUUAAAAUGAGCUUUUAGGCUUGACGUUAGCUUUACUAGUUUGGCGUAAGCGUAGAGUUAGCUUAACGCGAGCGGAACGUUAGCAUCAGUUUAGCCAGCUAUGUUAGCUUAAAGUUAGCUUAAAGUUAGCUUAGUUAAUAAGUGUAAUGUUAGUUGAACGUAAAUUUGAGGUUAGCUUUGUUAGCUUAACAUUCGCCUUGUUGUAAGUGUUACGUUAGCUUAAAGCAGGGUUAGCAGUAGCUUCGUUAGCUUGACCUGCACCUGAACGUCACGUUGGCUUCAUUUGAGCCUCGUUAGCUCAACUUUAGCUUCGUUAGCUUAACAUUCCGCUCCUUUAGCUUAAAGUUAGUUUCGUUAGCUGCAGUUGUUUAAGUGAGUUGAGCGCACAAGGUUCGUUAGCUCCAUUUUAGCUAUUAACUUCAUUUUUUUUUCUUUAAACUAAGAACCCGGAUAAAUAAAAGUAAAGAGCACGCAUGGCGACACGUCUUCCUCCGAGGUGUGUGAACGAGGAGGACGUCUGGUGACAAAUGAACAUGUCAGAGAUGUGAAGAGUCGCCGUCUGCUGCAGACUGCAGACUGCUGACCGAGCCUACGAGGAGACGUGAUGACAGACUUGAACUCGGCCUGAACUCUUCCUGACAGACACCAGCAUUGGGCUCCAUCCUUGACCCGACACCAUCCACCAUCAUGACGGUGCCUUUGAUGGGACCAGACGCUGCGUUGUGCGAGUGGAUCG